CCCGGGGAGCGUGCGCACGCUGAGAGGGGCGUUUCGCAGCGCCCGACCCGUUGAACCUGAACCGGCUAGCACCGGCGGAGGGAAGGGCG
rnacentral:ncRNA from 1 species